UACGUAGGGGCAAGCGUUGUCCGGAUUUAUUGGGCGUAAAGAGCGUGUAGGCGGCCAGACAGGUCCGUUGUGAAAACCUAGAGGGCUUAACCUCUAGACGUCGAUGGAAACCGUUUGGCUAGAGUCCGGAAGAGGAGAAUGGAAUUCCUGGUGUAGCGGUGAAAUGCGCAGAUAUCAGGAAGAACACCCGUGGCUAAGGCGGUUCUCUAGUACGGUACUGACGCUGAGAACGCGAAAGCGUGGGGAGCGAACAGG
rnacentral:rRNA from 1 species